rnacentral:rRNA from 1 species
ACAGAGGGUGCGAGCGUUAAUCGGAAUUACUGGGCGUAAAGGGUGCGUAGGCGGUUGAGCGAGUUGGAUGUGAAAGCCCAAGGCUUAACCUUGGAAUUGCAUUUGAUACUACUCAGCUAGAGUACAGUAGAGGAAAACGGAAUUUCUAGUGUAGCGGUGAAAUGCGUAGAUAUUAGGAAGAACACCAGUGGCGAAGGCGGUUUUCUGGACUGAUACUGACGCUGAGGCACGAAAGCGUGGGGAGCAAACAGG